rnacentral:lncRNA from 10 species
UUAAGUGCUUUAUCUUCUGAGAUAGUAUUUAUCUUCAUUUUACCUUUUCUUUUUUUUUUUGAGACAGAGUCUUGUUCUGUCACCCAGGCUGGAGUGCAGUGGCGUGAUCUUGGUUCACUGAAACCUUUGCCUCCUGGGUUCAAACGAUUCUUAUGCCUCAGCCUCCCAAGUAGCUGGGAUUACAGGAGAGUGUCACCACGUCUGUCUAAUUUUUGUGUUCUUAAUAGAGGUGAGGUUUCUCACCGUGUUGGCCAGGCUGGUUUCAAACUCCUGACUUCGAGUGAUCCGCCUGCCUCAGCCUCCCAAAGUGCCUGGCCAUUUAUCUUCAUUUUAAAGAUGAGAAGACUGAGACUCAGAAAAGUCAAGUAACUUAUAGAGCAUAGGAACAUAAGUCAUAGAGCAGAUAAAUGGAGCCAGAGCCCAAAUUUCUGUACUCAAAGCUUGUAUACCUCAUUCUUAGUUAUACCAAAUAUAUUUUGUAAUCGUAGUUAUUAUUCUUUGUUUCUCUGAAAAUUUUUACAUUUUUUGAGUCACAGUGUUUUUCCCCCUUUUUUUCUGAUUGUUGAAACAGUUGGGAUAUUAUUCAUAACAGAAAGAACUAAGGUUUCAUUGAGAUGGUCUUUGGAUUAG